AGGCUGGGAAAGUCGGAGGCAGUGGGUUAAGGAUCCAGGAUUGCUUCAUCGUGGAGGCCCACAGACCAGGAGUGGACUCAGACAAGGGUCUUCUGUUCCAGUCCACAGUUCCUCUGCAGUCAACAUUUCCAGAAGAUCUCAAGUAGCAUGAAUUUUGGUGCCUUGCCCCAUUCCCUGCUUUCCCCGGAUGACUUAUCUUUUAGGAUAAGCACUAACAAAAGGUCAAGGUUAUUCUAAAGUGCCCCACAGAGGAGGGAGCUCUUCCUCCUGGUUCCUGAAGAUGAACCUCGCACAAUUGUAACUGACACCAGGCUGCAAGUGGGGCUCUGCAGAUGAGGUCCGCAGGGCACGGCUUGGCACCGCUGGCGAUCGCAACCGUGCCAUGUCGUUUAUUACACCCGAAGAUGAAUUUCCUCGCCUUUGUGACACAGCAACCAAGAAGCGCGGAUUCCCCCACCCCCGCCACCCGUUCGCCUGCCUCUAAUUUUCAAACGUAACAAAAGGUCAUGCUCUGGCCGGCAGAUACACCUUGCUUCACAUUUUUUAAGGAAACCUGGAAAUAAACCUGCUUCUUUCUGUCUUUUGCGUCGCUGCGCUGGAAGAUGAUGCUUCUGCAUCCCUGAAAUCUUGGGGGAGGGGGGAGGUGGGGGGAGCCCCGAGGUGCAGCGGGAGCGCCGCCGCCACAGCCCGGGCCCCAGCACCAGCUAUGUGCCAUAACACCCCCCCGGCGAGCU